AUCUGCUCUCACCUGUUUGAUUGUUGGCGAAGUGCAGCACCUCCAUGCCAUCUGGGUAGGUGAUGUGUGUCGUCUGGGUCUCAGCAUAGUAGUAGACCUGAGCACAAGGGGCAGCACUGUUAGUUAUCAGCAGCAGUGUGUCUGUGUAGCUCUUUCUCCGGUGCUGUGAUUCAGGAAGGCUAAUGGAUUCAAAAGGCUGUGAAAGGCCUCCCUGGUGUUCUACUCAAUACGUCAGAAUGAGAUAAGUCUGGUAGACACCCCCUCCCUAAGACAGUGGUGUACGCCUGACAAAGCCACCCCUCCCCUCCUUCCUCACAUCCUGCCUUUAAGCAGGAGGAAAU